UUACCGGAUCGGGAGGGUCUCGCGGCCUAUCAGCUUGUUGGUGAGGUAACGGCUCACCAAGGCAUCGACGGGUAGCUGGUCUGAGAGGAUGAUCAGCCACACUGGGACUGAGACACGGCCCAGACUCCUACGGGAGGCAGCAGUGGGGAAUCUUGCACAAUGGGCGAAAGCCUGAUGCAGCAACGCCGCGUGCGGGAAGAAGGCCUUAGGGUUGUAAACCGCUUUCAGCAGGGAAGAAAAUGACGGUACCUGUAGAAGAAGGUGCGGCCAACUACGUGCCAGCAGCCGCGGUGACACGUAGGCACCAAGCGUUGUCCGGAUUUAUUGGGCGUAAAGAGCUCGUAGGCGGUUCGGUAAGUCGGGUGUGAAAACUCUGGGCUCAACCCAGAGCCGCCACCCGAUACUGCUGUGACUUGAGUUCGGUAGGGGAGCGGGGAAUUCCUGGUGUAGCGGUGAAAUGCGCAGAUAUCAGGAGGAACACCAGUGGCGAAGGCGCCGCUCUGGGCCGACACUGACGCUGAGGAGCGAAAGCGUGGGUAGCAAACAGGAUUAGAUACCCUGGUAGUCCACGCCGUAAACGUUGGGCACUAGGUGUGGGCCUCAACCAACGAGAUCCGCGCCGUCGCUAACGCAUUAAGUGCCCCGC
rnacentral:rRNA from 1 species